GGUUGCGAUCAUACCAGCACUAAUGCACCGGAUCCCAUCAGAACUCCGCAGUUAAGCGUGUUUGGGCGAGAGUAGUACUAGGAUGGUGACCCCCUGGGAAGUCCUCGUGUUGCAACCCC
rnacentral:rRNA from 1 species